rnacentral:RNase_P_RNA from 3 species
GAAGCAGGCCAGACAGCCGCUGGCUAUCGCAAGAUAGCGGGAGGAAGGUCCGGACUCCAUAGAGCAGGGUGACGGCUAACGGCCGUACGCUGAAAGCCUACCCGGCGCAAGCCGGGGCGGUAUAAGGUGAGGAAUAGGGCCACAGAGACGAGCGUAUUAAGUUACGGUGAAACGCGGUAACCUCCACCCGGAGCAAUUCCAAAUAGGCACGCAUUGAGGCUGCUCGCGGAGCGUGCGGGUAGGAAGCUUGAGCCGUGGAGUAAUCCACGGCCUAGAGGAAUGGCUGUCAUAGCAGGGCAACCUGCCGUAACAGAAUCCGGCCUAUCGGCUUGCUUCACAC